rnacentral:rRNA from 1 species
CUGGGUUGUAAACCCCUUUUCAGGGAAGAAGAAAGUGAGGUACCUGAGGAAUCAGCCUCGGCUAACUCCGUGCCAGCAGCCGCGGUAAUACGGAGGAGGCAAGCGUUAUCCGGAAUGAUUGGGCGUAAAGCGUCUGUAGGUGGCUAUUCAAGUCUGCUGUCAAAGCCUGAGGCUCAACCUCAGAUCGGCAGUGGAAACUGGGUAGCUUGAGUGCGGUAGGGGCAGAGGGAAUUCCCGGUGUAGCGGUGAAAUGCGUAGAGAUCGGGAAGAACACCGGUGGCGAAAGCGCUCUGCUGGGCCGCAACUGACACUGAGGGACGAAAGCUAGGGGAGCGAAUGGGAUUAGAUACCCCAGUAGUCCUAGCCGUAAACGAUGGAAACUAGGUGUUGCCUGUAUCGACCCGGGCAGUGCCGUAGCUAACGCGUUAAGUUUCCCGCCUGGGGAGUACGCACGCAAGUGUGAAACUCAAAGGAAUUGACGGGGGCCCGCACAAGCGGUGGAGUAUGUGGUUUAAUUCGAUGCAACGCGAAGAACCUUACCAGGGCUUGACAUGUCCGGAAGCCUGGGGAAACCCGGGUGUGCCUUCGGGAACCGGAACACAGGUGGUGCAUGGCUGUCGUCAGCUCGUGUCGUGAGAUGUUGGGUUAAGUCCCGCAACGAGCGCAACCCUCGUUCUUAGUUGCCAGCAUUAAGUUGGGCACUCUAGGGAGACUGCCGGUGACAAACCGGAGGAAGGUGGGGAUGACGUCAAGUCAUCAUGCCCCUUACGUCCUGGGCUACACACGUACUACAAUGGGGAGGACAGAGGGCAGCCACUUCGCGAGAAGGAGCUAAUCCCGAAAACCUUUCCUCAGUUCAGAUUGCAGGCUGCAACUCGCCUGCAUGAAGGAGGAAUCGCUAGUAAUCGCAGGUCAGCAUACUGCGGUGAAUCCGUUCCCGGGCCUUGUACACACCGCCCGUCACACCAUGGAAGUUAGCCCGGCCCGAAGUCAUUACUC